GGUUGACCAGUUCGAUCCCUCAGUCGUUGGGUUGCUUGGGGAAGAUGCAGCAACUAAAUUUUGCAGGGAACCUCUUGUAUCAGAUGGUGCCAGAGGUGGUGUGUAUGUUGCUGAGACUGACAAACCUGUCGUUGUCGGAUAAUUAUUUUACACAAGUGGGGCCGAAAUGUAAGAAGUUGAUCAUGAAGAAGGUGCAUGCUUGAUUUAGGAAGAAUUGCAUUCUGGAUCUACCGGAGCAGAGAUCUAUGACUGGGUGUGCGAGUUUCUUCUCCAAGC